UUUCCUUCCUUCCACCGACAUGGACGUUCUGAUUCCUCACCGCCAUUGCACUCCUUCACCGUUCUUCGCAUCUCCGGUGGCCAUGGUGCUCGUGCUGUCUUGUAAUGCCAGCUGUAAUCUCAUCUUCUUCCUUCCCUGUCGCUGAUGAUCGCUGCUGUGGUGGAGGUUUUGUUGAAGUCACUGUUUUUUUUUUUUUUUUACUCUGGGUGCUGCCAUCGGAGAGUGUGAGUGGCAAAACUCCCUCCUUAUUCCUGCUUUGUCUGUGCGUUGCUGCGUGUAUGCUGCCAUGUUUUCGUGAUUCUUUCCCCUGCUUCCGUCGAUUUCGUUCUGUUCCCUUUCUUUGCUGUUGCUGAUUCAGGAGUUUGGCAAGGUCACGGACUCAUUUUGUUUCCCGUGAGGCAUCACUGUUGGACUUUCUUCUUUCCCUAUUCAGCAUCCAAGUUUCCUCUUCUUCUCUUUUGUGAUGUUGGUGAUUUAAGGGUAAUUGAAAGAAGGGUAGCUCGAUUAGAGUUGAAAGAAGUGACUUUUGAGCUUUGAAGGUAUUAUAGAUAGCGUCGCUGAUAUUGUACAUCCUGCUUUCCAAUGAGGAAAUUUCUACUGAGCUUAGUGGAGAUUUGUUCUGUAAAUAUUUUCUAUUGAUGUAAAUCUAAAUUUAUGAAUUAUGUCAUGAAAAACAUGAUUAGGUGCUCUACAUAAAUUAUGAUUAGGGUCCUGAUUCUCUUUGUUAUAUUGUCUAUCUAUUGGUGAGAAGUAAAGCUCCAUAUUACUAGUUAUAAAUUGUAAAAUUUCUGUUGUAAAGAUUUUGGAGAGAUCUUACUUAUAAGGGAGGUAUUGUCAUA